UCCAUCUUUAUAUCUUGUCCCACCAGAAAGUCUUCAGGGAUAAUAACACACAUGGCUUUGUCAUCUUCUACAAUAAUGUCUUCUUCCGGAAUACUUCCUGAAGGACCUACCUGAGGCUAUUAUACUGCUAACUUAUUUUUUUAAUAUUCAACUGUCAUGGGCUGAGGAUGUUAUGAUAUAUCAGAUUUAUCUCAAGAAACUUUGACAAGAAAAGGACAACAAAGAAGGUGAUAGAUGAAACAAGUAUGAUGAAGCUAGAUAAUUGUAUCAUCAGGGUUUGCAGACAACUUAAAAUAGGCCAAAUUACAUGAAAGAGUAUUCAGUCAGACUUUUUUUAGUACUGGGGAAGUACCAGUAUUUAAAGUCUUUUAAACAUUUCUCUGACCACAACAGUAUUGAACGUGGACUUCCUGAGAAUAAGGACCGGAAUUAAAAAGAAUCACUUCUCUCAUCCCACAUACCAUCCUGAGACCCAGACAGCCUGCUAAGGAAACAUCAGGUCCUCUGCUUGAUGAGGCAUUGGAAUAGGCUUGCAUGCUGAAGGGAAUGAUUCAUUUGAAGGGAGAAACCAGUGCAGACUGAAGGAGAGCAAUUGCUGAAGCAAUAUACAUGAGUAAGCUGGAAAGGAUGCAAUCUAAUGCAGUGGAGAAGAGUUAGAUUCCACUGAAGAGUUCAUCUGUGAUAAGAGGAGCGAGAACUAAGCAUGUGCUUAGCAAUAAAGCCUGAGCUGAAUCCCACAGCCUGAACAAAAAGGUGAGCACAGGCCUGCUGAUAGCAAGAGUUACAGCAGAAGCUGUGGAAGACUGAAUACUGGCCCCAAAGAUAUACAGGUCGUAUUCUCUGAAACCUGUGAAUGUUUUUUUAUACGGACAAAGGAAAUUUGCAGAUGUUAUUAAAUCUUGAGAUGGAGGGAUUAACCUGAAUUCACUGGAUGGGCCCUAAAUGUAAUCCCAAGUGUCUUUAGAAGAGGGAAAUAGAGAAAGAUUCGACUGUAGAAGAAAAUAAGGCAUUGUGAUUUGUGAA